rnacentral:rRNA from 1 species
AUUGAACGCUGGCGGCAUGCCUUACACAUGCAAGUCGAACGGCAGCACGGGGGCGAACCCUGGUGGCGAGUGGCGAACGGGUGAGUAAUACAUCGGAACGUGCCCCGUACGCGGGGACGAACCAGUCGAAAGACUGGCUAAUACCGCAUACGCUCCACGGAGGAAAGCAGGGGAGUCGCAAGACCUUGCACUAUGGGAGCGGCCGAUGCCCGAUUAGCUAGUUGGUGAGGUAAAGGCUCACCAAGGCAACGAUCGGUAGCUGGUCUGAGAGGACGACCAGCCACACUGGGACUGAGACACGGCCCAGACUCCUACGGGAGGC